rnacentral:rRNA from 1 species
AUUGAACGCUGGCGGCAGGCUUAACACAUGCAAGUCGAACGAGUGGCGGACGGGUGAGUAAUGUCUGGGAAACUGCCCGAUGGAGGGGGAUAACUACUGGAAACGGUAGCUAAUACCGCAUACCAUCCGAUGGGCCUAGACGGGAUUAGCUAGUUGGUGGGGUAACGGCUCACCAAGGCAACGAUCCCUAGCUGGUUUGAGAGGAUGACCAGCCACACUGCGACGGAGACACGGCCCAGACUCCUACGGGAGGCAGCAGUGGGGAAGCUUCGACAAUGGGCGAAAGUCUGACCGAGCAACGCCGCGUGUAUGAUGAAGGUUUUCGGGUCGUAAAGCACUGUUGGUAGAGAAGCGGUAUCUGACCAGAAAGCCACGGCUAACUACGUGCCAGCAGCCGCGGUAAUUC